rnacentral:other from 1 species
AUAUGUCUGCGCAUCUCGACAACCGAGAGCUUAAAUAACCCGAACAAUUUUUACUAAGGGAAUCAUACUCCGGAUAUGGGGAGCAGACCUCCCUCCUGCCCUGUGCAUGAGGAUGUUGGGAGCACAUAAGUAUUUGGGAUGAUACCCACCUGCGUUUAACAGCAGGUUAUCUUCAGCCUCGGCGGAUGCGCGGAUUAAAA